GAUGAACGCUGGCGGCGUGCCUAAUACAUGCAAGUAGAACGCUGAAGGAGGAGCUUGCUCUUCUGGAUGAGUUGCGAACGGGUGAGUAACGCGUAGGUAACCUGCCUGGUAGCGGGGGAUAACUAUUGGAAACGAUAGCUAAUACCGCAUGACAACAGUUAUUGCAUGAUAACUGUUUAAAAGGGGCAACUGCUCCACUACCAGAUGGACCUGCGUUGUAUUAGCUAGUUGGUGAGGUAACGGCUCACCAAGGCGACGAUACAUAGCCGACCUGGGAGGGGGAUCGGCCACACUGGGACUGAGACACGGCCCAGAAUCCUACGGGAGGCAGCAGUAGGGAAUCUUCGGCAAUGGACGGAAGGCUGACCGAGCAACGCCGCGUGAGUGAAGAAGGUUUUCGGAUCGUAAAGCUCUGUUGUAAGAGAAGAACGAGUGUGAGAGUGGAAAGUUCACACUGUGACGGUAUCUUACCAGAAAGGGACGGCUAACUACGUG
rnacentral:rRNA from 1 species